ACGUAGGGACCAAGCGUUGUUCGGAUUUACUGGGCGUACAGGGAGCGUAGGCGGUUGGGUAAGCCCUCCGUGAAAUCUCCGGGCCUAACCCGGAAAGUGCGGAGGGGACUGCUCGGCUAGAGGAUGGGAGAGGAGCGCGGAAUUCCCGGUGUAGCGGUGAAAUGCGUAGAGAUCGGGAGGAAGGCCGGUGGCGAAGGCGGCGCUCUGGAACAUUUCUGACGCUGAGGCUCGAAAGCGUGGGGAGCAAACAGGAUUAGAUACCCUGGUAGUCCACGCCUUAAACUAUGAAUACUAAGUGUCGGCGGGUUACCGCCGGUGCCGCAGCUAACGCAGUAAGUAUUCCGCCUGGGAAGUACGGCCGCAAGGUUG
rnacentral:rRNA from 1 species